GAAGUCCGGUGCUGCUAGCUUCGAUGGCGGGAACCAACGAUCUAAGGAAACGCCAUUGAAACGCCGAAGAAGAGGGAGGAAGCGAGAUUUGGUAGACUGGCGUGAUGAACAAAAAUCAGUAAUGUCUUUUCAACAGCCAUGCCUCAAAUGCGCUUCGAGGCCUUGUGCAAUGGAUGAGCAUCAAUGAAGCACGGCGAGGCCUUGUUUUAGGUUUUGCAUUUUCUUAUUCGAAUUUUCGUGUCUCUCAUUUCGUUCUGAUCAUCACGUUUUAUUUUCAGGACAUGAAUUUGAGAAAACUUCUUCCAUUUUCAAUGUUGAUUUACUCUGCUAUUGGCAUCUGAUUUCCUUCCGAUUGUCAAGUUUUUGCAUAUGAAUUUGAAGGAUCUUUUACAUUUUCAAUAUUCAAUCGGUUCGAUCUCGGAGCCGAUGAUUUAUGGACGCUUGUACUGCGGGCGUUUCUAUUCGAAAGGAAACGCCGAAGAACGGAGAGAGGAAUUGGCAAUGUUUUCUCAGGAGCCAAUCCCCAAAUGAGCUUCGAGGCCUUGUAAAAAAUGGAUGACUGUCGAUGAAGCCGGUCGAGUUCUUGUUUUAGACUCAAAAACAUUGAAAGAAUAGAAGACAGAGGAAUCAAUUGGAUGGGCCGCUGAUGUCAAAGAUCCAAGCGAGCUCUCACAUCCAAAACGCUAAAUAAG